CCUAAUGUUCAAUGCUUCUCCUCACCACCCCAUAUAAUUUGGACUAAGGCUUCUAUUUUCAGCCAAAAGUUUCUAUGUGCACACAUCUGAAGAGACAGCUGAAAUGAGAGGGUUAAAGAUUUUAUUCGGCAUCACAGGAGAAGCUUUCAAGAAGUGAAAAAAAGAAAUGAAAACACAUGCAGCAAGAAAAUGAGAUUAAUAAACAAACAAUGACAUCUACUAAACAAAGGCAGAACAUACAGUGAUCUGAGAUGUCAUUGCAGAAAAUGCAGCAUGUCUGCAGAAAGAACAGGACACAUGCAGGAACUGUCAGCGAUUUAACUUAAACAUGUCAAAGGGUCUAUAAAGACAUUACUGACCAUGAAAUGAGAAGAUGCAUAGGGGAUUGCCAAUCCCACACAAUAAUUGUUUGUGGUCACAGUCUAGGAACACAACCAAAAAUUUAAAUUACAACAUAAGGCCGGUGCCAAAUUCAAGAUCAUAGAACAGAUACAGAUGGACAUCAUAUUAUAUUUUUGUUGUUCUGUCAACAUUAUUGUGCAUCUGCAUUAUACUUGUACCCUAGGCCUAUACUAUAAGUUAUUCUCUGGUUUAUUACAAUGUCAUAUUUAAAAUGUUUUAAUACCUGGAAAAUUUGAAACCUAAGAAAAGUUUAAAUUACU